rnacentral:rRNA from 1 species
GACGAACGCUGGCGGCGUGCUUAACACAUGCAAGUCGAACGGAAAGGCCCUGCUUUUGUGGGGUGCUCGAGUGGCGAACGGGUGAGUAACACGUGAGUAACCUGCCCUUGACUGUGGGAUAACUUCAGGAAACUGGGGCUAAUACCGGGGAGGAGCUCCUGCUGCAUGGGGGGGGUUGGAAAGUUUCGGCGGUUGGGGAUGGACUCGCGGCUUAUCAGCUGGAUGGGGGGGUAGGGGCUUACCAAGGGUUUGACGGGUAGCCGGCCUGAGAGGGUGACCGGCGACCAUGGGACUGAGAUACGGCGCAGACUGCUACCGGAGGCAGCAGUGGGGAAUAUUGCACAAUGGGCGGAAGCCUGAUGCAGCAACGCCGCGUGCGGGAUGCCGGCUUUCGGGUUGUAAACCGCUUUCGCCUGUGACGAAGCGUGAGUGACGGUAAUGGGUAAAGAAGCACCGGCUAACUACGUG